AUUGAACGCUGGCGGCAGGCCUAACACAUGCAAGUCGAGCGAGCGGCGGACGGGUGAGUAAUGUCUGGGAAACUGCCUGAUGGAGCGGGAUAACUACUGGAAACGGUAGCUAAUACCGCAUACCAUCAGAUGUUCUCAGAUGGGAGUAGCUAGUAGGUGGGGUAACGGCUCACCUAGGCGACGAUCCCUAGCUGGUCUGAGAGGAUGACUCGCCACACUGGAACUGAGACACGGUCCAGACUCCGACGGGAGGCAGCAGUGGGGAAUAUUGCACAAUGGGCGAAAGCCUGAUGCAGCCAUGCCGCGUGUGUGAAGAAGGCCUUCGGGUUGUAAAGCACUUUCAGCGGGGAGGCGGUACCCGCAGAAGAAGCACCGGCUAACUCCGUGCCAGCAGCCGCGGUAAUUC
rnacentral:rRNA from 1 species